rnacentral:rRNA from 1 species
CACGCCGCGUGAACGAUGAAGGCCUUCGGGUCGUAAAGUUCUGUUGUCAGGGAAGAACAAGUACCGGAGUAACUGCCGGUACCUUGACGGUACCUGACCAGAAAGCCACGGCUAACUACGUGCCAGCAGCCGCGGUAAUACGUAGGUGGCAAGCGUUGUCCGGAAUUAUUGGGCGUAAAGCGCGCGCAGGCGGUUCCUUAAGUCUGAUGUGAAAGCCCCCGGCUCAACCGGGGAGGGUCAUUGGAAACUGGGGAACUUGAGUGCAGAAGAGGAGAGCGGAAUUCCACGUGUAGCGGUGAAAUGCGUAGAGAUGUGGAGGAACACCAGUGGCGAAGGCGGCUCUCUGGUCUGUAACUGACGCUGAGGCGCGAAAGCGUGGGGAGCGAACAGGAUUAGAUACCCUGGUAGUCCACGCCGUAAACGAUGAGUGCUAAGUGUUAGAGGGUUUCCGCCCUUUAGUGCUGCAGCAAACGCAUUAAGCACUCCGCCUGGGGAGUACGGCCGCAAGGCUGAAACUUAAAGGAAUUGACGG